UAGGGAAUAUUGCAAAAUGGGCGAAAGCCCGAUGCAGCAACGCCGCGUGGGCGAUGAAGGCCUUCGGGUCGUAAAGCCCUUUUUGAGGGGAUGAGGAAGGACAGUACCCUCAGAAUAAGCCUCGGCUAACUACGUGCCAGCAGCCGCGGUAAAACGUAGGAGGCGAGCGUUAUCCGGAUUUACUGGGCGUAAAGCGCGUGCAGGCGGAUUGGAGAGUUGGAUGUGAAAGCUCCCGGCUUAACUGGGAGAGGUCAUUCAAUACUUCCAGUCUUGAGUGCAGUAGAGGGAAGUGGAAUUCCGGGUGUAGUGGUGAAAUGCGUAGAUAUCCGGAGGAACACCAGUGGCGAAAGCGGCUUCCUGGACUGUAACUGACGCUCAGACGCGAAAGCUAGGGUAGCAAACG
rnacentral:rRNA from 1 species